UGGGAAGUAUUGCAUCAAUGGCAGGCAAGCCAUGCAUGCAGCCAUGCCGCGUGUAUGAAGAAGGCCUUCGGGUUGUAAAGUACUUUCAGCGAGGAGGAAGGCGUUGUGGUUAAUAACCGCAGCGAUUGACGUUACUCGCAGAAGAAGCACCGGCUAACUCCGUGCCAGCAGCCGCGGUAAUACGGAGGGUGCAAGCGUUAAUCGGAAUUACUGGGCGUAAAGCGCACGCAGGCGGUCUGUCAAGUCGGAUGUGAAAUCCCCGGGCUCAACCUGGGAACUGCAUCCGAAACUGGCAGGCUAGAGUCUUGUAGA
rnacentral:rRNA from 1 species